GAUGAACGCUAGCGGCAGGCCUAAUACAUGCAAGUCGGACGGGAUUCAGGAGCUUGCUUCUGAUGAGAGUGGCGCACGGGUGCGUAACACGUAUGUAACCUACCUUUAUCAGGGGGAUAGCCUCUCGAAAGAGAGAUUAAGCCCGCAUAAAAUCACAGCACAGCAUUGUGUAAUGAUCAAAUAUUUAUAGGAUAAAGAUGGGCAUGCGGAACAUUAGCUAGAUGGCGGGGUAACGGCCCACCAUGGCGACGAUGUUUAGGGGAUCUGAGAGGAUGGCCCCCCACAAGGGUACUGAGGCACGGACCAGACUCCUACGGGAGGCAGCAGUAAGGAAUAUUGGGCAAUGGGCGGAAGCCUGAAACAGCCAUGCCGCGUGCAGGAAGACGGCGCUACGGGUUGUAAACUGCUUUUAUACGGGAAUAAACCCAGAUACGGGGAUCUGGCUGAAUGUACUGGAAGAAUAAGGAUCGGCUAACUCCGUG
rnacentral:rRNA from 1 species